rnacentral:rRNA from 1 species
UACAGAGGUGGCAAGCGUUGUUCGGAAUUACUGGGCGUAAAGGGCGCGUAGGCGGCCAUCUAAGUCAGACGUGAAAUCCCCCGGCUUAACCUGGGAACUGCGUCUGAUACUGGACGGCUUGAGUAUGGGAGAGGGAUGUAGAAUUCCAGGUGUAGCGGUGAAAUGCGUAGAUAUCUGGAGGAAUACCGGUGGCGAAGGCGGCAUCCUGGACCAUUACUGACGCUGAGGCGCGAAAAGCUAGGGGAGCAAACGGGG